UACGUAGGGGCCUAGCGUUGUCCGGAUUUAUUGGGCGUAAAGAGCUCGUAGGCGGUUUGGUGAGUCGGGUGUGAAAUCUCCACGCUCAACGUGGAGGGGCCACCCGAUACUGCCAUGACUAGAGUCCGGUAGGGGAGUGUGGAAUUCCCGGUGUAGCGGUGAAAUGCGCAGAUAUCAGGAGGAACACCGAUUGCGAAGGCAGCUCGCUGGGACGUAACUGACGCUGAGACGCGAAAGCGUGGGGAGCAAACAGG
rnacentral:rRNA from 1 species